rnacentral:sRNA from 2 species
AUAAUUAAAGUGCUGAAUCUGAGCUUUUGGAUGCUCAGAACGGGGGAUUUCAUGUGGGGUGAAUCAUGUGUAGAACAUGUAGGGCUUACACCUUAGCCCGAAUCCGUCAACUAACCUCGUAAGUAAAGAAAGGUGGACAA